rnacentral:rRNA from 1 species
CCCCAAAUUUAGCCUUAUAUUACUUUAUAAGUUUAACAGUCUUAAAUUUAUUUAAUAAAACAUUUUAACUCCUUAAGUAAAGGCGAUUGAAAAAGAUCUAAGCGCUAUAGAAACAGUACCGCAAGGGAAAAAUGAAAUAAUAAUGAAAUAAUUAAAGCUACUUACAGCAGAGCAUUUACCUCGUACCUUUUGCAUCAUGGCCUAGCAAGACUUAACAAGCAAAACGAAAUUUAAGUUUUAAAUCCCGAACCUAGGCGAGCUACUUUAAAACAGCCUUUUGGGCCAACCCGUCUCUGUAGUAACAUAGUGGGAAGAUUUUUAAGUAGAAGUGAAAAGCCUAUCGAGCCUAGAAAUAGCUGGUUAUUCAUGAAAAGAAUAUAAGUUCUGCCUUAAGUUUCCCCCAUGGUCCCUAACAACAUUUUAAACUUAAGAGUUAUUUAAAUAAGGAACAGCUUAUUUAAGACAGGACACAACCUAGACAAUAGGGUAAAAUCUUAAUUACUCCCAAGUGGGCCUGAAAGCAGCCACCUUUUAAAAAGCGUCAAAGCUUAACCUUAACUCCCUAAAAUACCAUUAACCUUUAUGAACCCCUAAUUUAUAAUGAAUGACUCCAUAUAAUUAUGGAAGACACCAUGCUAGGAUUAGUAACAAGAAUUUAUAAUUCUCCAAAAUGCAAACAUAAACCAAUAUGGAUAAACCAUUGGUAAUUACCGAACCUGAACUUACUGCAAUAACAUCUACAAGAAAACCCUGCAGUAUUUACUCGUUAACCUAACACCAGCGCAUUUCAGGAAAGAUUAAUAAAAAGAGAAGGAAUUCGGCAAAUGACGACCCCGCCUGUUUACCAAAAACAUCGCCUCUUGACUUAUAAAUAAGAGGUCCAGCCUGCCCAGUGAAUUUUUAACGGCCGCGGUAUCCUAACCGCGCGAAGGUAGCAUAAUCACUUGUUCUUUAAAUGGGGACUCGUAUCAACGGCAUCACGAGGGUUAUACUGUCUCCUCUUUUUGAUCAGUGAAAUUGAUCUUCCCGUGAAGAAGCGGGAAUACUUAUAUAAGACGAGAAGACCCCAUGGAGCUUUAAACCAAAUAGCAACUUAACCAUAUAUUGCCCAAUAACUUUAAGCCCGUGCUACAAGGUUUUUGGUUGGGGUGACCGCGGAGUAAAGCACAUCCUCCACGACGGAAAGACUAUAAUCUUUAUUUAAGAACUACAAUUCUAGAAAUUAGUAUACUAACGUUUACUGACCCGACAAUCGAUCAACGGAACAAGUUACCCUGGGGAUAACAGCGCAAUCUACUUCAAGAGCCCAUAUCGACAAGUAGGCUUACGACCUCGAUGUUGGAUCAGGGUAUCCCAGUGGUGCAGCCGCUACUGAAGGUUCGUUUGUUCAACGAUUAAAAC